CAAUAGCGUAUAUUAACGUUGUUGCAGUUAAAAAGCUCGUAGUUGGAUUUCUGGAGGGAGCGUCGGCCCGUAUUUACGAGUGCGUGACGUCUCUGUCCACCCUUGCGGGAAGGCACGGCAUUGAUUUGUUGUGUCGGAUCGCAUCAUUUACUGUGAAAAAAUUAGAGUGUUCAAAGCAGGCUUUCGCUUGAAUACAUUAGCAUGGAAUAAUAAGAUAGGACUUUGGUGCUAUUUUGUUGGUUGAGCCUAAAGUAAUGAUUAAUAGGGAUAGUUGGGGGCACCUGUAUUGCGUUGUCAGAGGUGAAAUUCUUGGAUUUACGCAAGACAAACAGCUGCGAAAGCGUCUGCCAAGGAUGUUUUCAUUAA
rnacentral:rRNA from 1 species